AGUGAACGCUGGCGGUAGGCCUAACACAUGCAAGUCGAACGGCAGCACAGUAAGAGCUUGCUCUUACGGGUGGCGAGUGGCGGACGGGUGAGGAAUACAUCGGAAUCUACUUUUUCGUGGGGGCUAACGUCGGGAAACUUACGCUAAUACCGCAUACGACCUACGGGUGAAAGCAGGGGAUCUUCGGGCCUUGCGCGAUUGAAUGAGCCGAUGUGGGAUUAGCUAGUUGGCGGGGUAAAGGCCCACCAAGGCGACGAUCCGUAGCUGGUCUGAGAGGAUGAGAAGGCACACGUGGACGGCGACACGGUCCAGAAGAUUGGAGGAGGCAGCAGUGGGGAAUAGUGCGCUAUGGGCGAAAGGCAGAAGGAGCCAUGCCGCGCGAGUGGUGAAGUUCUUAGGAUUGUAAACCUCUUUCAACAGGGAUGGUAAUGACGGUACCCGGAGAAGAAGCGCCGGCUAACUACGUG
rnacentral:rRNA from 1 species